rnacentral:rRNA from 1 species
GUUAAGCGACUAAGCGUACACGGUGGAUGCCCUGGCAGUCAGAGGCGAUGAAGGACGUGCUAAUCUGCGAUAAGCGUCGGUAAGGUGAUAUGAACCGUUAUAACCGGCGAUUUCCGAAUGGGGAAACCCAGUGUGUUUCGACACACUAUCAUUAACUGAAUCCAUAGGUUAAUGAGGCGAACCGGGGGAACUGAAACAUCUAAGUACCCCGAGGAAAAGAAAUCAACCGAGAUUCCCCCAGUAGCGGCGAGCGAACGGGGAGCAGCCCAGAGCCUGAAUCAGUGUGUGUGUUAGUGGAAGCGUCUGGAAAGGCGCGCGAUACAGGGUGACAGCCCCGUACACAAAAAUGCACAUGCUGUGAGCUCGAUGAGUAGGGCGGGACACGUGGUAUCCUGUCUGAAUAUGGGGGGACCAUCCUCCAAGGCUAAAUACUCCUGACUGACCGAUAGUGAACCAGUACCGUGAGGGAAAGGCGAAAAGAACCCCGGCGAGGGGAGUGAAAAAGAACCUGAAACCGUGUACGUACAAGCAGUGGGAGCACGCUUAGGCGUGUGACUGCGUACCUUUUGUAUAAUGGGUCAGCGACUUAUAUUCUGUAGCAAGGUUAACCGAAUAGGGGAGCCGAAGGGAAACCGAGUCUUAACUGGGCGUUAAGUUGCAGGGUAUAGACCCGAAACCCGGUGAUCUAGCCAUGGGCAGGUUGAAGGUUGGGUAACACUAACUGGAGGACCGAACCGACUAAUGUUGAAAAAUUAGCGGAUGACUUGUGGCUGGGGGUGAAAGGCCAAUCAAACCGGGAGAUAGCUGGUUCUCCCCGAAAGCUAUUUAGGUAGCGCCUCGUGAAUUCAUCUCCGGGGGUAGAGCACUGUUUCGGCAAGGGGGUCAUCCCGACUUACCAACCCGAUGCAAACUGCGAAUACCGGAGAAUGUUAUCACGGGAGACACACGGCGGGUGCUAACGUCCGUCGUGAAGAGGGAAACAACCCAGACCGCCAGCUAAGGUCCCAAAGUCAUGGUUAAGUGGGAAACGAUGUGGGAAGGCCCAGACAGCCAGGAUGUUGGCUUAGAAGCAGCCAUCAUUUAAAGAAAGCGUAAUAGCUCACUGGUCGAGUCGGCCUGCGCGGAAGAUGUAACGGGGCUAAACCAUGCACCGAAGCUGCGGCAGCGACGCUGAUGCGUUGUUGGGUAGGGGAGCGUUCUGUAAGCCUGCGAAGGUGUGCUGUGAGGCAUGCUGGAGGUAUCAGAAGUGCGAAUGCUGACAUAAGUAACGAUAAAGCGGGUGAAAAGCCCGCUCGCCGGAAGACCAAGGGUUCCUGUCCAACGUUAAUCGGGGCAGGGUGAGUCGACCCCUAAGGCGAGGCCGAAAGGCGUAGUCGAUGGGAAACAGGUUAAUAUUCCUGUACUUGGUGUUACUGCGAAGGGGGGACGGAGAAGGCUAUGUUGGCCGGGCGACGGUUGUCCCGGUUUAAGCGUGUAGGCUGGUUUUCCAGGCAAAUCCGGAAAAUCAAGGCUGAGGCGUGAUGACGAGGCACUACGGUGCUGAAGCAACAAAUGCCCUGCUUCCAGGAAAAGCCUCUAAGCAUCAGGUAACAUCAAAUCGUACCCCAAACCGACACAGGUGGUCAGGUAGAGAAUACCAAGGCGCUUGAGAGAACUCGGGUGAAGGAACUAGGCAAAAUGGUGCCGUAACUUCGGGAGAAGGCACGCUGAUAUGUAGGUGAAGUCCCUUGCGGAUGGAGCUGAAAUCAGUCGAAGAUACCAGCUGGCUGCAACUGUUUAUUAAAAACACAGCACUGUGCAAACACGAAAGUGGACGUAUACGGUGUGACGCCUGCCCGGUGCCGGAAGGUUAAUUGAUGGG